AACAGAGUGCCUGAUUAAAGGGUUAUUUUGAUAGAAUAAAUUAUGUAAUUUUUUACCUCUGUUA
rnacentral:tRNA from 1 species